rnacentral:rRNA from 1 species
GUGCCAGCCGCCGCGGUAAUACGGGGGGGGCAAGCGUUGUUCGGAAUUACUGGGCGUAAAGGGCUUGUAGGUGGCCCCAUAAGUCAGACGUGAAAUCCCUUGGCUUAACCAAGGAACUGCGUCUGAGACUGCGGGGCUUGAAUCCGGGAGAGGGAUGCGGAAUUCCAGGUGUAGCGGUGAAAUGCGUAGAUAUCUGGAGGAACACCGGUGGCGAAGGCGGCAUCCUGGACCGGUAUUGACACUGAAAAGCGAAAGCCAGGGGAGCAAACGGGAUUAGAAACCCCUGUAGUCC